GUGGUAUACGAUGGACCCGCGUCUGAUUAGCCAGUUGGCAGGGUAACGGCCUACCAAAGCGACGAUCAGUAGCCGGCCUGAGAGGGUGGACGGCCACAUUGGGACUGAGACACGGCCCAAACUCCUACGGGAGGCAGCAGUGGGGAAUAUUGCACAAUGGGGGAAACCCUGAUGCAGCGACGCCGCGUGAGUGAAGAAGUCAUUCGUGAUGUAAAGCUCUAUCAGCAGGGAAGAAGAUGACGGUACCUGACCAAGAAGCCCCGGCUAACUACGUGCCAGCAGCCGCGGUAAUACGUAGGGGGCAAGCGUUAUCCGGAUUUACUGGGUGUAAAGGGAGCGUAGACGGUGAAGCAAGUCUGGAGUGAAAUGCUGGGGCCCAACCCCAGAACUGCUCUGGAAACUGUUUGACUGGAGUGCAGGAGAGGUAAGUGGAAUUCCUAGUGUAGCGGUGAAAUGCGUAGAUAUUAGGAGGAACACCAGUGGCGAAGGCGGCUUACUGGACUGUAACUGACGUUGAGGCUCGAAAGCGUGGGGAGCAAACAGGAUUAGAUACCCUGGUAGUCCACGCCGUAAACGAUGAUCACUAGGUGUCGGAGGGUAGAGACC
rnacentral:rRNA from 1 species